rnacentral:rRNA from 1 species
UACGUAGGGUGCAAGCGUUAAUCGGAAUUACUGGGCGUAAAGCGUGCGCAGGCGGUUCGCUAAGACAGAUGGGAAAUCCCCGGGCUUAACCUGGGAACUGCAUUUGUGACUGGCGGGCUAGAGUAUGGCAGAGGGGGGUAGAAUUCCACGUGUAGCAGUGAAAUGCGUAGAGAUGUGGAGGAAUACCGAUGGCGAAGGCAGCCCCCUGGGCCAAUACUGACGCUCAUGCACGAAAGCGUGGGGAGCAAACAGG